UUGUUGGUAAGGUAAAAGCUUACCAAGGCUUCGAUCAGUAGCUGGUCUGAGAGGACGACCAGCCACACUGGGACUGAGACACGGCCCAGACUCCUACGGGAGGCAGCAGUGGGGAAUUUUGGACAAUGGGGGCAACCCUGAUCCAGCCAUGCCGCGUGAGUGAAGAAGGCCUUCGGGUUGUAAAGCUCUUUCAGCCGGAACGAAACGGUUACGGUUAACACCCGUGACUACUGACGGUACCGGAAGAAGAAGCACCGGCUAACUACGUGCCAGCAGCCGCGGUAAUACGUAGGGUGCGAGCGUUAAUCGGAAUUACUGGGCGUAAAGCGUGCGCAGGUGGUUUUGUAAGUCAGAUGUGAAAGCCCCGGGCUCAACCUGGGAACUGCGUUUGAAACUACAAGACUUGAGUGUGGCAGAGGGGGGUGGAAUUCCGCGUGUAGCAGUGAAAUGCGUAGAGAUGUGGAGGAACACCGAUGGCGAAGGCAGCCCCCUGGGUCAACACUGACGCUCAGGCGCGAAAGCAUGGGGAGCAAACAGGAUUAGAUACCCUGGUAGUCCAUGCCCUAAACGAUGUCAACUAGUUGUCGGGCCUUUACGGGCUUGGUAACGUAGCUAACGCGUGAAGUUGACCGCCUGGGGAGUACGAUCGCAAGAUUAAAACUCAAAUGAAUUGACGGGGACCCGCACAAGCGGUGGAUUAUGUGGAUUAAUUCGAUGCAACGCGAAAAACCUUACCUACCCUUGACAUGUAUCGAAGCCCGCAGAAAAGCGGGGGUGCCCGAAAGGGAACGAUAACACAGGUGCUGCAUGGCUGUCGUCAGCUCGUGUCGUGAGAUGUUGGGUUAAGUCCCGCAACGAGCGCAACCCUUGUCAUUAAUUGCCAUCAUUUAGUUGGGCACUUUAAUGAGACUGCCGG
rnacentral:rRNA from 1 species